rnacentral:lncRNA from 1 species
UUCUAAAGGAGCUAAUAGGAGUUUAACCCAGGGCUACNGGUAGAGCGUUUACCUAGCAUGCUUAAGACUCUGGGUUCAAUCCCCAGUGCUACAAAAAAAAAAAAAAAAAAAGGAGAUAGAGACCAUUUUGCUAAUGCCCAAAUGAGCUCCCUACCUUUGGCUUUCACUGUGUUAGAGGUCCUAACAAGUGUACAGGCCUGAGAAUUGAAGGUAAUUGGUUUCUUUUACAGACCCCUUAUUUUAGAAGGACUUUUUACUUGAAUACAAUACAACUUAGCAAACCAGUUCAUGGCCUUAGAGAAACAUGGUUUGCAGGCAGUCUUGCAAACUGUUUCUUAUAUUUUCUGGAAUGAAAAGUGAGAGUUAUUUAAAAAAGAUGUGUUACAAAAGAGAAGCAAAAUUGAUAAAACAGUUUUUUGAGCUUAGGGAUUUAAAAAACAAAAACAGCAUGUGUGCUAUGACUCUUGAAUUCUAAUAUGCAAUCUGUUUUUGCAUGGAGCAUAUCUGCUUCAUGCCUAUAUUGCCCAGUGACUCACUUUCGUGUGAUAUAGUACACAUUUUGUUCAGAAAUCAUUUUUUCAUUUCUCCCAUUUCUUGUUUUAUCAAGAUUCUGUUGUUCAGUUUGAAUUAUGAUAGCAUCAUUUAAAUAUAUGUCAUUUAAAGGAACUCCUGGAUGUGUUAUCGUCUUAAGAGUUCUGCAUACAGGUUAGACACAUCUGAGCUAUCACCUAGGUUACUGCUGUAUUUGAAACUGGUUAGUGCUCUAUUUUUUAGAAAACAAAGUUAAACCUCAACAUUUUUAUAAGAUAAUAGUACAAUUUAAUUAAAAGAUGUAAAUGUUUUAAUCUCUUAGGAUUGCUCUGUCCUAAGGUUACCUAAAUUGUGGUUGGAUUUUAUACACAUUACUGCAAAAGUACUAAAAUUGGAUAAGAGAUUCUUUGUUGUCCCGAUAUAGUGUAAACCACAUGUGUUUGAGAGUAAAAGUUGAAUAUAUGCAAUUUUCACUGAACUUAAGCAGUGAAAACCAUGUUGCCCUCCUGUAAUCCGUUGAUGAUUUUUUAGAAAGUAGCUUAAUCAUGGCAGACCUUGACACUUAUUUCUUAAGUACCUAAACCCUCUUCUUUACACUUAGCAUUUUUAGGAGCAUCAGUUUCAUUUAACUUAUCUGAAACUAUGUAUAAUUCAACCCAGUGAUAUCAGAAUUGAUAUUUGUUUCAAAUGCUUCCAAAACUUUACUGUGGAUUAUCAUGCUAAUGGCGCUCACCUGUGAUCCCAGCUGUCUGGAAAUCUGAGGCAGAAGGAUCACAAGUUUGAGGCCAGCCUGGACAACUUAGUGCACCCUGUCUCAAAAUAAAAAUUUUUAAAAAGACGUGAGGAUGUAGCUCAGUGGUAGAUGCUUGCCUAGCAUGACUCAGACCCUGAGUUCAAUCCCCAGUACCUCAAAAAAAAAAAAAAAAAAAAAAANUCAGUUUCAUUUAACUUAUCUGAAACUAUGUAUAAUUCAACCCAGUGAUAUCAGAAUUGAUAUUUGUUUCAAAUGCUUCCAAAACUUUACUGUGGAUUAUCAUGCUAAUGGCGCUCACCUGUGAUCCCAGCUGUCUGGAAGUCUGAGGCAGAAGGAUCACAAGUUUGAGGCCAGCCUGGACAACUUAGUGCACCCUGUCUCAAAAUAAAAAUUUUUAAAAAGACGUGAGGAUGUAGCUCAGUGGUAGAUGCUUGCCUAGCAUGACUCAGACCCUGAGUUCAAUCCCCAGUACCUCAAAAAAAAAAAGACAGGUUUAGAGCCUUCUGAUACUGAAGAGCAGAUGUACAAACCAAUGUGUCAGAUGGUGAUAAAGAGUAUAUUUUCUUUUUAGCACUUCAAAAAAAAAAUGUCUUUUAAACAUUUUUUUUUGUCUCUUACCAUAUAAAGUCUAUAAUUUUAUUUAUAUUCCAUGGGAAAGAAAGUCUGCAGUUGUUUCAUGGUUUAAAGCAUCUGGUUAUGCAUAUUACAUCAUAAUACUAAUAUUGAGAAGAUUAUUUCUUGCCCAGCCCUUCUAUGGUUUUAUGAACAGGAAUUAAAUUUUACAGUAGUGCUUUAAGGUGGCUGUACUAAUAGUGUCAUUGGAAGAGUAAUACUUCUGCCCAUUUCUGGAUGACAGUAUUACUAAAAUGAAGACUUUUAGUCUCAGUUACUUAGGAAAAAUAGAAGUUUAGAAACAACGAUGAUAUAAAUCAUGAACUCAGAGAAACUCAGAUUUUAUUGUUGAGAAUAAAAAAAUAACAUGUGGACUAUCAGAUAUCUACACAUAUUUUUAUUAAGAAAUUUUCUUGUAUUGCAGUGGGAUUGUACAUGUCAGGUAUCAUUCCAAUCAUUUCUGUUUUCAUGAACCAGUAAGAGACCUGAAACAGAAGGGAGGGAAUCAAUUAUGUAAGGAGGGCUUAUUACCUUUUUUUUAAAAAUUGAGGUACAAUUUACAUACUAUAAAAUACUCAUUCUUUUAAAGUGUAUAUUUCAUUUGUUUUUGGUGUAUUUAGAGUUGUGCAACCACUACUACUAUGUAAUUCCAGAAUAUUUCAUCAUUCCAAAAAGAAACCCCUUAUCCAUUAGCAGUUAUGCCCAUUUUCCCUUCUCCCUAACACAUUGUUAAUCAGUAACAAUUCUAUCUCUGUGGAUUUACCUCUUCUGGACAUUUCAUAAAAAUGGAAUCAUGUGACACGUGGCCUUUUGUGUCUGACUUCUUUCACUUAGCAUGAUGUUUUCAGGUUUCAU